CAGCCGCCGCGGGAAUACGGAGGGGGCUAGCGUUGUUCGGAAUUACUGGGCGUAAAGCGCACGUAGGCGGCUUUUUAAGUCAGAGGUGAAAGCCCGGAGCUCAACUCCGGAACUGCCUUUGAGACUGGAAGGCUUGAACGUCGGAGAGGUGAGUGGAAUUCCGAGUGUAGAGGUGAAAUUCGUAGAUAUUCGGAAGAACACCAGUGGCGAAGGCGGCUCACUGGACGACUGUUGACGCUGAGGUGCGAAAGCGUGGGGAGCAAACAGGAUUAGAUACCCGCGUAGUCCCUGUCUCUUAUAC
rnacentral:rRNA from 1 species